UGGUUCUUUUAUGUUUGGUUACUUGAGUGUGUAUAUGUGUGGGAAAUAUAAAAGUGCAUGUGGGGUGUGAUUGAAGUCUCUCUCUCACUAAAGCUCUUGACUUGUCACGCCUGUCCCGCUCUGCUGUGUUGCUACUGACUGCACAAGUUUGGGUGUUUUACCCCACUGCUUUUUGCAACUCGACCUUGGCGAUAUUAGAUGCCAUGUAGUGCAGCAUUGUAAGCAUUGCUCUGCUUGGGCAUUCAGGCUCAAUGGAAGGUUUGCUGGUUAGCUGGGGACCAGGAGCGGAGGAACUUGCUGCAAAACCAUAGUAUAUCUGGGCUUUCAGCAUUAAGAGUUUCUUUCCGAGUGGCUGUCCGAGGGGGAACCAGAGGAGGUGCUUCCACUGUCAAGUCUUGACUCCUUGAACUGGAUGACCGGUGCACUUGAACCCUUGAAUCCGAGGCAGAUGGAACAUUGAGCUCUGCGGCCAAGUAUAGUCCCUACAAUUGUGUACAAUUGUAAAUUAUCACAAUCGGAGCUUCAUGAGUAUAAUACUUAAAAUUAAAUGGUGCACAAUUGUAAUUCAUAAAUAAGUGGUGCACAAGUGUAAAUUAUUGGAAUUUGUGGUGCACAAUUGUAAUUCAUAAAUGAGUAGUGCACAAUUGUAAAUUAUUACAAUUGGGGUGCACGAGUAUAAUACUUAAAAUUGAGUGGUGCACCAUUGUAAUUUAUAAAUGAGUGGUGCACAAGUGUAAAUGACUGGAAUUUGUGGUGCACAAUUGUAAUUCAUAAAUGAGUAGUGCACAAUUGUAAAUUAUUACAAUCGGGGUGCACGAGUAUAAUACUUAAAAUUGAGUGGUGCACAAGUGUAAAUUAUUGGAAUCUGUGGUGCACAAUUGUAAUUCAUAAAUAAGUAGUGCACAAGUGUAAUUUAUUACAAUCACUGGUAUUUAAAAGUAUGAAACAAUUAGGUUGUUCACAAGUGAUGGAAUAGUGCAGUGUAUCUUUAAAAAAAGGGAUCCAGAAGAAGUAUCAUAUAUAUAACUUUGUGUAGGAAUGAGCUGUCCGUGAUAUUUGAUUUUUAAGAGAUGAGGAUUGGUUGUCACCGGUGUUGUGUAAAUUGCUGCGUAAAUGAAUAAAAAAAAAUAAAUGAAUUGUAAAUAGGUAGACUUUAUAUAGAAAAGUUUCCGUGCCGAUUUAUUUGAGCUGAUGAUACACUAACAGCAAUGUAGGAGGCAUUCUUAGCAUGGAGUUCUAGGUGAUGCUUUAAUGUAUCGUCACCACUUGAAGUAAAAUUGAAUAUACCAAACUUGUUAGCAUAACAAUGUGGACUAAUGUUCAUAAGAAUUAUUACUUAAACGGAGCACUUUAUAUGCAAAUGAGUCAUGCCAUAAGCAAUAACUGGUUAAAACUCCCACUAGCAGACUGACAAGCACAUAUCAGUGUCUUGAACUGUUCUUUAGUAGUAUUGUACAUUGGAAGCUUGAAAAUUGAUUUUGGUUAUACCUCUAGCUUUCAGUAGUAGCAGCUCAUAGAAGUUGCCACAAUUUCGUUGAGAUCCCAGGUGAUAAUGGCCAUUAUCACGGUGUGCACGUAAAGCCAGACCUUGGCACCCUAAAGUUACUAUGAUGUCAAUAGAAGUCAACACUUUCCUGUUCCUUGUGACUUUGUCCUGCACUUCUUGAAAUUUGGUUUUGGCAUCUACAUGAGGAGUGGUAUUCAUGACACGAUUAUUUGAGUUCCAUUACAGUUAGAUUUCAUAUAUAUAAUGUGCUGUAAUACUAUACAAAUAAACAUGAUUCUAUCAAAAAACAAGGUAGGGCCUAAAUGAUAGGAUGUGGAUUGAUAACACAUACCAUGAUAGCAUUCAUAGGCACCUUUAAUAAGCUAUAUGUUCAAAAUGAUGCAAAGGUUUCAUCUCAAAGGUUACACUUUAUAAGACCAUUUUUACAUUAGUGACUCUUGUCAUUCAUAUUGUGUGGACAGAAUCUGUUUUCUGCACUCAUUUUCCAAUAGCUACAUCUCCUUGCCAAAGGCUGCAUCCAGACAAGAUGCAACUCUAACAUCGGAACAAACUGCUUUUAAAGCUACAUUUAACUACCUGUUGCGUUCUUUGUUUUAUCCAUCUGUAUUCCAGGGAAAUCUACUCUGAAAUAUGCCCUCACAUCUUUCCAUUCGCAAAAUGGUUUAGUCACAAGCUUCCCCUGCUACUUAAUGUAUUUAUUGUACGGAAUAAACACACAAAACGUGCAGUAAGCUGCAUCUUGAAUUCAGCUAUA